AGAGUUUGAUCAUGGCUCAGGACGAACGCUGGCGGCGUGCUUAACACAUGCAAGUCGAACGGAAAGGCCCUUCGGGGUACUCGAGUGGCGAACGGGUGAGUAACACGUGGGUGAUCUGCCCUGCACUUUGGGAUAAGCCUGGGAAACUGGGUCUAAUACCGAAUAUGACCACGCUCUUCAUGGGGUGUGGUGGAAAGCUUUUGCGGUGUGGGAUGGGCCCGCGGCCUAUCAGCUUGUUGGUGGGGUAAUGGUCUACCAAGGCGACGACGGGUAGCCGGCCUGAGAGGGUGACCGGCCACACUGGGACUGAGAUACGGCCCAGACUCCUACGGGAGGCAGCAGUGGGGAAUAUUGCACAAUGGGCGCAAGCCUGAUGCAGCGACGCCGCGUGAGGGAUGACGGCCUUCGGGUUGUAAACCUCUUUCACCAGGGACGAAGCGCAAGUGACGGUACCUGGAGAAGAAGCACCGGCCAACUACGUGCCAGCAGCCGCGGUAAUACGUAGGGUGCGAGCGUUGUCCGGAAUUACUGGGCGUAAAGAGCUCGUAGGUGGUUUGUCGCGUUGUUCGUGAAAACUCACAGCUUAACUGUGGGCGUGCGGGCGAUACGGGCAGACUAGAGUACUGCAGGGGAGACUGGAAUUCCUGGUGUAGCGGUGGAAUGCGCAGAUAUCAGGAGGAACACCGGUGGCGAAGGCGGGUCUCUGGGCAGUAACUGACGCUGAGGAGCGAAAGCGUGGGGAGCGAACAGGAUUAGAUACCCUGGUAGUCCAA
rnacentral:rRNA from 1 species